UCCUACAGCCAUAGCACCCUGAACACACCAAAUCUCAUUUGAUCUCAGAAGCUAAGCAGGGGUGGGCCUAGAGAAGAGAAUCUUGACUGGGCAGAAGAGAGAU
rnacentral:rRNA from 1 species